AUAGAUACCCUGGUAGUCCAUGCCGUAAACGAUGAAUGCUAGGUGUUGGAGGGUUUCCGCCCUUCAGUGCCGCAGCUAACGCAUUAAGCAUUCCGCCUGGGGAGUACGACCGCAAGGUUGAAACUCAAAGGAAUUGACGGGGGCCCGCACAAGCGGUGGAGCAUGUGGUUUAAUUCGAAGCAACGCGAAGAACCUUACCAGGUCUUGACAUCUUUUGAUCACCUGAGAGAUCAGGUUUCCCCUUCGGGGGCAAAAUGACAGGUGGUGCAUGGUUGUCGUCAGCUCGUGUCGUGAGAUGUUGGGUUAAGUCCCGCAACGAGCGCAACCCUUAUGACUAGUUGCCAGCAUUUAGUUGGGCACUCUAGUAAGACUGCCGGUGACAAACCGGAGGAAGGUGGGGAUGACGUCAAAUCAUCAUGCCCCUUAUGACCUGGGCUACACACGUGCUACAAA
rnacentral:rRNA from 2 species